rnacentral:rRNA from 1 species
ACGGCGAGUGAAGCGGCAACAGCUCAAAUUUGAAAUCUGGCUCCUUUGGGGUCCGAGUUGUAAUUUGGAGAGGGUGCUUUGGUGUUGGCAGCAGCCUAAGUUCCUUGGAACAGGUCAUCAUAGAGGGUGAGAAUCCCGUAUGUGGCUGAUUGUCUUCACCGUGUAAAGCCCCUUCGACGAGUCGAGUUGUUUGGGAAUGCAGCUCUAAAUGGGAGGUAAAUUUCUUCUAAAGCUAAAUACUGGCCAGAGACCGAUAGCGCACAAGUAGAGUGAUCGAAAGAUGAAAAGCACUUUGGAAAGAGAGUCAAAAAGCACGUGAAAUUGUUGAAAGGGAAGCGCUUGCAGCCAGACGUGCCUGUAGUUGCUCAUCUGGGGAUCUCCCCAGUGCACUCUUCUAUGGGCAGGCCAGCAUCAGUCUGGGCGGUUGGAGAAAGGCCUGUGUCACGUAGCUGCUUUCGGGCAGUGUUAUAGGGCAGGUGGAAUACGACCAGCCUGGACUGAGGUCCGCGCAUCUGCUAGGAUGCUGGCGUAAUGGCUGUAAGCGGCCCGUCUUGAAACACGGACCAAGGAGUCUAACAUCUAUGCGAGUGUUUGGGUGUCAAGCCCGAGCGCGCAAUGAAAGUGAACGGAGGUGGGAACCCUCGGGUGCACCAUCGACCGAUCCUGAUGUCUUCGGAUGGAUUUGAGUAAGAGCAUAGCUGUUGGGACCCGAAAGAUGGUGAACUAUGCCUGAAUAGGGUGAAGCCAGAGGAAACUCUGGUGGAGGCUCGCAGCGGUUCUGACGUGCAAAUCGAUCGUCAAAUUUGGGCAUA